rfam:Coccidioides immitis H538.4 supercont1.44 genomic scaffold, whole genome shotgun sequence.
GGUUCUAUGGUGUAGCGGUUAGCAUAGCGGAUUCUGAUUGAUUUCGGAGUCUUCCGUUGACCCCGGUUCGAUUCCGGGUAGGACCU